ACCUCCAUGGCCGGGACGAGCUGAGCUGCAGGCCGUGCGGAGCGCCGCCGCCGCCCCGCCUCCGGCCACCGUGCUGCCGCUCAUUGGGCCCGGCCUGGCGCCACAAGAUGGCGGCGCCCACGGAGGAAGGAUCCCGUCUCCAGGGCGACGGGCAGCCCGCGGGGCGCCGGAGUGCACGCGCCUGCGCCCUGGCCAAUGGCCCGCCUACGCUAAGGUCGCUUCCGCUCGUUGGGGCAGUUCAAGGAGUUUCUUCGUUCAAACGGGGAAAGUAAAAGCCUAAGCAAAAGUAAUUGCUGAAAAUGCACAGUAUAACCUCCAGGCAACCGUAAGAAACGUCAGACAAACCAAAAGCAUCUUGACUUCAACCGGACGACACCCAAUUUGACAGAACUGUAGAGAUAAUAAAUUUGUAUCGUCUUAAGCAA